UCACAUGAGCCACAGCCCACAUUGCUGCAUCUAAACAUGAUGUGAGUUUCACCAGAACCUGUUGACAGAACAGGGCUGAAGUUACUGGAAAUUCGCAAAUUUCCUGGACAUGGUUCUGAAUACCUAGGAUUCUGUCUGGAGGAAGACUGAACGACAAGUUUUUUGUCGAUGAUGACUCCCAAAAACUUUAGAGACUGGACUGGGAUUAGAGUGGAUUUUGACCAGUUUAUCAUACAUAAGUAUAUCCAACACUAGUUGGGUGUCUCUGAGAAUUUUCUUUAAUGAAUUCGCCUUUACCAGUAUGUCUUCGAGGUAAGGAAAGACUUCCACCUUUUGUAACCUUUGAAGAGCUAAUAUCGGUGCCAGUAUUUUUGUGAAAGUUCUUGGUGCUGAGGCAAGGGCAAAGGGUAGAGCCCUGUAUUGGAAUUGAAGGCCAAAUAUUUGGAAACGUAGAUAUUUCUGAUGAUUUGCCAGAAUUGGAAUAUGCAGAUAGGCACAUUGUAAGUCUAUUUUGACCAUCCAAUCUCCUGGCCUUAGAACUUGGCCGAUUGCCCUGAUAGAUUCCUUGCGGAAAGUCUUUGUGUUUACAAAAAGAUUUAGAAAUCUGAGAUCCAAGACAGCUCUGAAUUCGCCUAAUUUUUUGUUGACAAGGAAAAACGGGAAAUACAUUCCUGUUCUUAUUUGAAACUUUGACUUCUGGAGAACAAAGUAAUUGUCCAAGUCUAGAGUAAAAUUUCUUCCAUGGCUACAGGAGCCUCCCUGGUCCUUGGAAUUCCUGAUUCCUAAAAAUGAAAGAGAGGAGGCAUUAUUUUGAACUCCAGAUGAUGACUUAGUACGAUCACAUCUUUCACCCAACUGUCUGUUCUGAUUUGACAUCUUUCUUGUUCUGAAAGGACUGAGCCUUAGAUUUCCAAGAGGAAUGCUUCUGAAAACUCUUGCCCGGAUGAUACGAACUGGAGUCCUUAAAUGAGGUAAAGGUGUCUGAUACUUGAACUACUCCACAUGUGACACAUCUUUUAGAUCCACAUUUGAACAUUCUAGGAUUAUCCAGCCAUGUGUUAGAUCUACUUUCCUUAUUGAACAUGCUGGGUGCUAAUGUCAUGCCUAAUGUCGGAGCCCUCCUUGCCACUACCUGGAUGCCUGGCUCUAGUAGCUGCUUGAACACUGGAUCCCCAUAUAAUAUUGGGAGAUGUUUAUUUAAUAAACGUUUAAUCUUAUUAAA